CGCUGACUUGCCUAGUCAGCCUACCCUCUGCUGACUUAGGGGCAUUGUGUACAGGUUUCUGAAGGAAGGGUUAAAAUGGGGUUCUGCUUGGUAUCAUGUUGGGCAAGAAGUUUCCAGCUGCUCUUUUUCUCAUAUAGAAAAACACAACCCAAUUGAUACAAGCCAUCGUUUUCUGCCUUGGUUCUAACCAGACUGGAUACAAACAAGCUUGCAGAUAUUGUAAAACAUCUGGAUUUAGGGAACAAAAGUCCUUCUUGGUGGAACUUGCCUUCUCCCGCUGUGCUUUUGAGAUGUAAGUAUUCUAUCUACCUGGUGUUCUCCAGGAAUCAGGGUGGUUCUUAUCAGAGGGAAAAGAGAAAGAGAGAGACUAUUUUGAAACUAGGCCUUUUAAAAAUCUUACAGGUCUCUUUCACAAACAUUAGUUUAAAAAAAAAAAAUUCCAUCUGAUCAGGCAAAUUUAACUUAUUCCAUCUUCCAGAAACACAAUUUACAUCCCACUAUUCUUUCAUAAAGUAGUGAGUUUGGCAUUAUUAUACCUGUCUUUUGGCUAAAAUAUUCAAAUAAAAACUAUAAAGUUUCUGUAUCUGUAUAUUCA
rnacentral:lncRNA from 12 species